CCCAGCUCCCCGCUACUUUUUAUAACCAGCUUUAUUUGAGAUCUUACUACACAGUCAGAGAAUAAUCCCACCCACGUCCUCUGCCCCAAGGUAGCUGCAACAAGGAGAAAGACAAAGCGACUCCAUCAAAUUCAUUUCUGGGUUCCAGACGCUGAGCACACACCUGGAAUGGGAGGGAAAGUGAGACUGAAAGGGACCAGGGGACCCUCCCCAGGUCACACAGCCUGAGGAGCCCCGCUCUGCAGACUCUGAGCUCCCUGCCCACACAGAACCUCCCGUUCCAAGGAGUUAUUAAACCUCCAGGAGCCCAAAGUCAAAUUGAAGAAGGU
rnacentral:lncRNA from 1 species